rnacentral:lncRNA from 1 species
AGAGAUCCAUCCAUCAUGGAUCUUAGCAAGCUAGUGGGAGCUAUAAACGUCUUAUGAGAGAAAGAUCAAAUUGUUUGAUUUCUCAUAAAGAUGUGAAUGAAUCUUUUGUUUACUAGGUUUACAAAAGAUUAGUGGGAGUUAAUCAAAUUCCUAAAUUUGAAUAUAUAUAUGAUAUAUUAAUUUUGGAAAUGAAAAGAAUACUUCUUCGUUAAAGUUAUGACUUUAAACAUUCUAUAACGAUAGAAUGUAUAUGGGAGACAUAGUCUAUAUACAUGGGAUGGAAAUCUACAAUAAUAGAUUUCAAGAUAUAAUUGGAUUAUAUCAAUCCCUAAUGAUAGACAAAAGAUGCUAGGAAGUUUCUCAUAUGAUGAUAAACUUCAAUCAGAAGAACAACUCUAGUAAGACUAGGAGGUAGCUCUUCUCAAACGUACCCUUUUGACUCCUAAAGAAACAUAAUGCAUAAAUAGAAUCCUUUAUGCAUACGCAGAAAGGUGAUUUACGUAUUUCAUAUUGUAUGAAAAACAUUGAUAUGAAUUGUACCUAGAUCGGUACAAGACAAUAUCAAUGCAAGCCCAGGAUCAGAACCAUGGCAACUGUCAAGUGAGUCCUUAAGUAUUUAAGAAAUACUAAAGGAUAGAUUCCUCAAAGAAUGAGGAAGAAUUAGAGUAACGUAAAGGAAGCGUAAAUGUAUUAGAUUAUGAAUGAAGAGAUAAUCAGAUAUCUCUUUAUUAUGACUAAAGAGAUAUUUGGAUGGAAACAUUAAAAGUAAUGACUUUAGUGUGUUCCAUUAUGAAUGCAAAAUAUAUUGCCAUAUAGAAGCUUACAACAAUGUUGUUUGGAUGGGAAAGUUCAUUUAUGAACUCUCUAUUCGGUUCCAACCAGAAAGUGUCUCUAGUGUACCGACACUACGACACUAAUGAGGCGAUAGCUCAAGCCAGGGAAUCAAGGUCUCAUCAAGAUCCGAACUCAAUUGAAAGAUUGAACACAUGAUUAAGAAUCAUGUAUAAUGGUGACGUCGUGAUUCUCAAGGUUGCUUCUAUGGAUAACAUAUAGAUAUCCAUUGUCUAGGCCUACUACUCAGCCAUUUUUGAAAUGACUACAGAAGAGGUAUCAUCACUGAUGACCAAGCUGAUUGGCUCUAGUACAAGUGGGAGAUUGUUGGAAAUGUGCCCUAAAACCAAUCAUAUGAUGAUACUUUACGGACAUUUCUCAUGUUAAACUAAUCUAGUUUAAUAUCAAGGGCAUAGAUUAUUGUUUUAAGCCGUC